rnacentral:rRNA from 1 species
CUACGGGUGGCAGCAGUGGGGAAUAUUGCACAAUGGAGGAAACUCUGAUGCAGCAACGCCGCGUGGAGGAUGACACUUUUCGGAGCGUAAACUCCUUUUAUAUAGGAAGAAGAUGACGGUACUAUAUGAAUAAGCGCCGGCUAACUCCGUGCCAGCAGCCGCGGUAAUACGGAGGGCGCAAGCGUUACUCGGAAUCACUGGGCGUAAAGAGCGUGUAGGCGGAUUAAAAAGUCAGAAGUGAAAUCCUAUAGCUUAACUACAGAACUGCUUCUGAAACUCUUAAUCUAGAAUAUGGGAGAGGUAGAUGGAAUUUCCGGUGUAGGGGUAAAAUCCGUAGAGAUCAGAAGGAAUACCGAUUGCGAAGGCGAUCUACUAGAACAUUAUUGACGCUGAGACGCGAAAGCGUGGGGAGCAAACAGGAUUAGAUACCCUUGUAGUC